CAGCACCUCAAGUGGUCAGGAUGAUUAUUGGGCCUAAAGCAUCCGUAGCCUGCUUUGUAAGUUUUCGGUUAAAUCCAUACGCUCAACGUAUGGGCUGCCGGGAAUACUGCAAAGCUAGGGAGUGGGAGAGGUAGACGGUACUCGGUAGGAAGGGGUAAAAUCCUUUGAUCUAUUGAUGACCACCUGUGACGAAGGCGGUCUACCAGAACACGUCCGACGGUGAGGGAUGAAAGCUGGGGGAGCAAACCGGAUUAGAUACCCGAGUAGUCC
rnacentral:rRNA from 1 species